UCCCUGGUGGUCCAGUGGUUAGGACUCUGCACUUUCACUGCUGAGGGCCUGGGUUCAGUCCCCACUCUGGGAA